rnacentral:rRNA from 1 species
GAGUUUGAUCCUGGCUCAGGAUGAACGCUGGCGGCGUGCCUAAUACAUGCAAGUCGAGCGAACGGACGAGAAGCUUGCUUCUCUGAUGUUAGCGGCGGACGGGUGAGUAACACGUGGAUAACCUACCUAUAAGACUGGGAUAACUUCGGGAAACCGGAGCUAAUACCGGAUAAUAUUUUGAACCGCAUGGUUCAAAAGUGAAAGACGGUCUUGCUGUCACUUAUAGAUGGAUCCGCGCUGCAUUAGCUAGUUGGUAAGGUAACGGCUUACCAAGGCAACGAUGCAUAGCCGACCUGAGAGGGUGAUCGGCCACACUGGAACUGAGACACGGUCCAGACUCCUACGGGAGGCAGCAGUAGGGGAUCUUCCGCAAUGGGCGAAAGCCUGACGGAGCAACGCCGCGUGAGUGAUGAAGGUCUUCGGAUCGUAAAACUCUGUUAUUAGGGAAGAACAUAUGUGUAAGUAACUGUGCACAUCUUGACGGUACCUAAUCAGAAAGCCACGGCUAACUACGUGCCAGCAGCCGCGGUAAUACGUAGGUGGCAAGCGUUAUCCGGAAUUAUUGGGCGUAAAGCGCGCGUAGGCGGUUUUUUAAGUCUGAUGUGAAAGCCCACGGCUCAACCGUGGAGGGUCAUUGGAAACUGGAAAACUUGAGUGCAGAAGAGGAAAGUGGAAUUCCAUGUGUAGCGGUGAAAUGCGCAGAGAUAUGGAGGAACACCAGUGGCGAAGGCGACUUUCUGGUCUGUAACUGACGCUGAUGUGCGAAAGCGUGGGGAUCAAACAGGAUUAGAUACCCUGGUAGUCCACGCCGUAAACGAUGAGUGCUAAGUGUUAGGGGGUUUCCGCCCCUUAGUGCUGCAGCUAACGCAUUAAGCACUCCGCCUGGGGAGUACGACCGCAAGGUUGAAACUCAAAGGAAUUGACGGGGACCCGCACAAGCGGUGGAGCAUGUGGUUUAAUUCGAAGCAACGCGAAGAACCUUACCAAAUCUUGACAUCCUUUGACAACUCUAGAGAUAGAGCCUUCCCCUUCGGGGGACAAAGUGACAGGUGGUGCAUGGUUGUCGUCAGCUCGUGUCGUGAGAUGUUGGGUUAAGUCCCGCAACGAGCGCAACCCUUAAGCUUAGUUGCCAUCAUUAAGUUGGGCACUCUAAGUUGACUGCCGGUGACAAACCGGAGGAAGGUGGGGAUGACGUCAAAUCAUCAUGCCCCUUAUGAUUUGGGCUACACACGUGCUACAAUGGACAAUACAAAGGGCAGCGAAACCGCGAGGUCAAGCAAAUCCCAUAAAGUUGUUCUCAGUUCGGAUUGUAGUCUGCAACUCGACUACAUGAAGCUGGAAUCGCUAGUAAUCGUAGAUCAGCAUGCUACGGUGAAUACGUUCCCGGGUCUUGUACACACCGCCCGUCACACCACGAGAGUUUGUAACACCCGAAGCCGGUGGAGUAACCUUUUAGGAGCUAGCCGUCGAAGGUGGGACAAAUGAUUGGGGUGAAGUCGUAACAAGGUAGCCGUAUCGGAAGGUGCGGCUGGAUCACC